rnacentral:rRNA from 1 species
GACGAACGCUGGCGGCGUGCCUAAUACAUGCAAGUUGAGCGAUGAAGAUUGGUGCUUGCACCAAUUUGAAGAGCAGCGAACGGGUGAGUAACGCGUGGGGAAUCUGCCUUUGAGCGGGGGACAACAUUUGGAAGCGAAUGCUAAUACCGCAUAACAACUUUAAACAUAAGUUUUAAGUUUGAAAGAUGCAAUUGCAUCACUCAAAGAUGAUCCCGCGUUGUAUUAGCUAGUUGGUGAGGUAAAGGCUCACCAAGGCGAUGAUACAUAGCUGACCUGAGAGGGUGAUCGGCCACAUUGGGACUGAGACACGGCCCAAACUCCUACGGGAGGCAGCAGUAGGGAAUCUUCGGCAAUGGACGAAAGUCUGACCGAGCAACGCCGCGUGAGUGAAGAAGGUUUUCGGAUCGUAAAACUCUGUUGGUAGAGAAGAACGUUGGUGAGAGUGGAAAGCUCAUCAAGUGACGGUAACUACCCAGAAAGGGACGGCUAACUACGUG